rnacentral:misc_RNA from 1 species
GCUUAGUUGAGUUGAAUUGAGUUAAGUUGUAGUUGCCAUAAUUAUGUAGUAUAAUUUGGAUUUUGUAAAUCAGCCUAGAAUGUGUAUAUCCCUCUUUAAUAUUCUAACUUUCUUGAUUCAUUGUGACUUGUAUAGAUUUCCUAUUCAUAUUAGAGAAAAUACAUCAAGUUUUUCUCGUCAAUCAGCUCUUUCUUUCUUCCUCUAUUUUCUCACAUUAUUUCUUAUUUUUAAUGCUUCUUCCCCAAUCAUGUCUUUUCACAGACUUUAUGCCAUUCAUAUACUACUCAAUGUAAUUGAUCUUAUUCUCCUUCCAACUGGUUUUGCAAUAUGGAAAUGCAGCACAAGUUUUACUCAGGAACAAAUUUCUUCAGGCUCCUUGUAAUGACACCGAUAAACUACAUCAAACAACAUUCACUUCUACCGCAAACCAUCAAUGACCAGUGACACUAAUUUUGCUAUAGCCAUCAACACCAUCAGAAAUAAAUGCACAAUUUAGACAUCUACAAAACAUUCUAAUAAUUCUGGCUUUGCAUGAAAGCAAAAACAUUGCUUUCCUGCUUAUAACCAAAAUUCAAAAGCAUUGACAAGCGUGUGGCGAAAUGGUGCCUAUAAGGUAUAAUUGUGAAGAAAUGCAGCAGAAUAAUGAUAUUAAUAACGAUAGCAGCUCAUGUACCUCUACAGUUCGGAU